AGUUUGCGUCUGAACUCCCCUCGGGAUGGAUGGCAAUUGACGGGAACCAGAGACUCUUCCCAUGAACGAAAACAACACGAACAAUGUCGCGAGAUGCCAUGACGAGAAGGAGUGACUGAGAGGAUCGUCCACAAGAUGGAAGCUGAGGCCUGGAGAGAGGCUUCAGGAGGAUCAGAGAUCACCUUCAGCACAGAGAGCUGUGCUACUGAGCUUCCAGGAGAUCGUCAUGAGGAGACUCUGCACAGCAAAAUCUUAAAUGACAUAAAAGACUUUCGACGUUGAGAAAGACAACUAAGGUGUACGACGUGCUCUGCCUUUUAAAUCUUCAGCAACGUUGAAUCAUGAGAACCUGAGGGAGCGUGCCAGGCUCCAAAAAGUGACAGCACAGAGGAGGUCCAGUGAUGGACUUGUGGUUCUGUGAACAGCACAAAUGCCAGGUGACUGUGAAAUAACUAACAGCACUUUUUCCACAAGUGAAGCCAGUAACUUGCUAUCCUACCAGAUUAGCUCUAGUUGCUUGUGCUUUACCUCCAUGCGUGAGAUCAGUAUGUGCAGCAGCUUAAGCUGUACAAUGUUUCAGGAUAUAGUUUUUCACCUUUUGAGACUGUUAGUUCAACACGAGGUAGAUGUCUACUACUGCAGACUAAAAUUACAUUUCUGUCACCUACAAACGCUUGUCUUUAAUGUUACUGUUACUCUCACAACCACAUAUUACCAUAAAGUGAUGCACAAUUCUGAAUCCGUCAAACCUUUUGCCAACGGAAGAAGAGGGCACUUCUCAUGAGUGUAGAGACCACGUAGAGAAGGAGUGUAAGCUGAGGGAUGACUUAAUAGCUGUGCCACUUGGUGAGGGAAAGGUUUGGUUUGUUGAGUUUUACAACAGUAGAGGGACAGACUAAAACAGGUUUUACUGUAGUAGAUAGUGAGAAAGUUAUCUGUGCAGGACAACUAGCAUGUUUCAUAUUUGCUUGAGCAGCAGAGAUAGUAGCUUUAACGGAAGCGUGUAAAGCUGCAGAGAAAUAAAAUGUGACAACAUACACUGAUAGCCAGUAUGCAUUUGCUACAUUACAUUUCUUUGUGAUGCAGUGGGUGAGACGAGGUGAGACAACCUCGACAGGGAAACCUGUAGCACACGCCAAACUCUUGCAAAAUCUGCUGGAGGCAGAGUUUUUACCCAGUAGAAUUGCCGUUUGUAAAUGUGAAGCACACAUGUGAGGGAAAGAUCCAGUUGCAUUAGGCAAUGCUUUUGCACAUAAGAUCGCGAAAGAGGCAACUUUAGGAGAACAUGUUGUUCACGUUUUAGCAGUGCAAUGCCAGCAGACGUUGGCUAUUAUGCGGGAUGCACUGGUAGACAUGCAGGGCCACUCACCUACUGCAGGGAAACAGUUGUGAUUUACAGAAGGAGCGAGUUUGCAGGAUGGUGUUUGUUAUCUGUGUGAUAAACCAAUACUGCUUUAGAAUUUGUAUAAAACUGUUGCUAUUUUGCGCCAUGGGCUUUGCCAUGUCGCAACAGGAGGGAGAUAAUGAGUAGUUUAUACUUUAAGAUUAAAUACCCUUAAAAAAAA